GUAGGUGGCAAGCGUUGUCCGGAAUUAUUGGGCGUAAAGCGCGCGCAGGCGGUUCUUUAAGUCUGAUGUGAAAGCCCACGGCUCAACCGUGGAGGGUCAUUGGAAACUGGAGAACUUGAGUACAGAAGAGGAAAGCGGAAUUCCACGUGUAGCGGUGAAAUGCGUAGAGAUGUGGAGGAACACCAGUGGCGAAGGCGGCUUUCUGGUCUGUAACUGACGCUGAGGCGCGAAAGCGUGGGGAGCAAACAGGAUUAGAUACCCUGGUAGCCCACGCCGUAAACGAUGAGUGCUAAGUGUUAGGGGGUUUUCCGCCCCCCUUAGUGCUGCAGCUAACGCAUUAAGCACUCCGCCUGGGAGUACGGCCGCAAGGCUG
rnacentral:rRNA from 1 species